rnacentral:rRNA from 1 species
AUGACUGGAAAGUACAAAUACACAUGUCCAGAACAGUAUGACCGAAUCAUCUCCGCUGAGCUCCCUAACAAGCACAAGUACCCAAAGUUAUACAAAAUGGUAAUCAAACAUAUGAUGCAUGCUCCUUGCGGUGCAUUGAAUAAAUUUUUUCCAUGCACAAAGAAUCGUCCGUCAUGCAAGAACAAUUAUCCAAGGCCAUUUAAUGAAACUACAAUCCAAGGAAAGGACUCCUGCCCACUGUAUAGGAGACGCAAUGAUGGUCGGACUGAAACGGUACGAAAAUGCCAACUGGAUAAUAGGUGGGUGGUUCCUUACAACCCAUAUCUUUUGUGGAUGUUCAACUGCCACAUAAAUGUUGAGAUAUGCUCGAGCAUUAAAGCCGUUAAGUACUUGUUCAAAUACAUCUAUAAGGGACAUGACCGAGCAUCUGUAUCUGUAACUGACAAAGUGGACGAAGUUGCAAUUGACGAGAUUAAACAGUAUAGAGAUGCGCGGUGGGUGACACCUCCGGAAGCACUAUGGAGAAUAUAUGGCUUCGAAUUAAGCAAAAUACACCCACCAGUCUUGCAACUGCAGCUACAUCUUCCAAAUAUGCACAUGGUUUCAUACCAUGGCAUGGAAUAA